UACGAAGGGGGCUAGCGUUGUUCGGAAUUACUGGGCGUAAAGCGCGCGCAGGCGGUCUUCCAAGUCAGUGGUGAAAGCCUGGAGCUCAACUCCAGAACUGCCAUUGAAACUGUUAGACUUGAGUACGAGAGAGGUGAGUGGAAUUCCCAGUGUAGAGGUGAAAUUCGUAGAUAUUGGGAAGAACACCAGUGGCGAAGGCGGCUCACUGGCUCGUAACUGACGCUCAGGCGCGACAGCGUGGAGAUCAAACAGG
rnacentral:rRNA from 1 species